rnacentral:sRNA from 1 species
CUAAAUCCCCAACCCCCUUGAAUUGCUUUUUGUGCAGCUUUAUUGCAGAGAAAUUUUGGGGAUGUGUGUGUAUAUGAUCUAGAAGAUGAGUGGUCAACUGUUUGGGGUCAACUAAGAACCAUUUGAAUUGGGAGCUAAGAAACAGUCGCCCUCUGAGGGGAGUAAGGAGUGCCGAGGACUGGAUCUACGCUGUUCUUAUUUAUAGACCAUUUAUAAUUUGAUGACUGUCUCAAGUUGGGAGGCCAUUUUUACCAAGUGUGUGUUUGUGUGGUGUGUGCACGUGUGUGUGUGUGUGUGUGUGUGUGUGUGUGUGUGUGUGUGUGCAGGUGCAGACGCUGUGGGAGAGGACAUCAGAUGUUCUGUUCUAUUACUUUGCUAUUCUAUUAAAAUGCGGUCUCUCACUGAACCUGGAGGUGGGAGCCAAUGAGCUCCAAUGGUUCUCCCUACUUUCUACGCCUGUUGCCAAAGUUACCCGAGUGUGCCACUACUACACCUGGCUUUUCUGUGGUUUCCGGGGAUUGCAAUGUAGCCCCUCACACUUGUGCUACACGUGUUGUUACCUAGGGCCCUUAAUAGCUGAGCCAACUACCCAGCCCGACUUUCACAACCUGUUGCUAUACUGAGGAUACCUAUGACUUAUACUGUAGCAACUGUUCUGAGUUCUGUCGUCCAGUAUUACUUCCGUCUUUCUUUAUUGUAAUACGUGUAAACGUAAUGGCCCACCUCUGUGUUGUAAAGAGAAGUUGUUAAGUUGAAAAAGAGUCUGUUGAGCCAGCAUGGUGGUACAACAUGGUGGUCUCUCCUACCAACCCUCACCUUGUUCUUUUGAGUCAGGGUCUCUAUACAGUCCUUAGGUGCCGUGGAAUUCACUGUGUAGAACAUGCUGUCCUUUGAACUUACAGAGAUUCACCUCCUCUGUCUUGAGUGCUGGGAUUAAAGAUGCGUACCACUAUGUCUGUCACACAUUUCCCCUCAUUUUAUUCUGUUUUUAUGUUUUAUUCCUUGUGGAAGAUUUUGAAUUGAAUAAAACUCCUUUUAAUGAA